rnacentral:rRNA from 1 species
CCUACGGGGGGCUGCAGUGAGGAAUAUUGGUCAAUGGGCGCGAGCCUGAACCAGCCAAGUAGCGUGAAGGAUGACUGCCCUACGGGUUGUAAACUUCUUUUAUAAAGGAAUAAAGUGAGGCACGUGUGCCUUUUUGUAUGUACUUUAUGAAUAAGGAUCGGUUAACUCCGUGCCAUCAGCCGCGGUAAUACGGAGGAUCCGAGCGUUAUCCGGAUUUAUUGGGUUUAAAGGGAGCGUAGAUGGGUUGUUAAGUCAGUUGUGAAAGUUUGCGGCUCAACCGUAAAAUUGCAAUUGAUACUGGCAGUCUUGAGUACAGUUGAGGUAGGCGGAAUUCGUGGUGUAGCGGUGAAAUGCUUAGAUAUCACGAAGAACUCCGAUUGCGAAGGCAGCUUACUAAACUGCCACUGACAUUGAUGCUCGAAAGUGUGGGUAUCAAACAGGAUUAGAUACCCCAGUAGUC